AAACUAUCUACUGGACGCAGAGAUGAAUAUGAUUCUCUGGCAGUAAAAAAACCAGAUUCAGAUCUUGAAAUGGCUGUGGAUAAGCAGCGCAGAAGAAAGAAACCUCAGGACAAAGUUUACACUUCCCUACAGCGGGAUAAGAUGGGUGAAGCAUAUAGUGAAAUUGGAAAGAAAGGAGAGAAACUUGGUGGCAAAGGCAAUGAUAUUCUUUAUCAGGGGCUCAGUCAAGCAACGAAGGACACAUACAAUGUCCUUCAAAUGAAGCAGUUGCAUUCUCCUCGUUAGUUACAACUGAACCUAAAAAGGAAGAAGAAAAAGAACAUCCCUUAUGGUGGAAUGGUAGCAAUUAAAGAGGACAGUUCAUUUCAGCAAAUCCAUUGCCUUGUUUGAAUAAUGCUUUUGUACAGUCAGCAAAACCAUUUCAUUUCCAAAUAACAUCCUAGGUUUUUUUUAAUGUACAUAAGUUUAAAGAUUCUGCUUAAUGUAUAGUUGCUCAUAUUUAGGAGCAGAAGUUGUGAUUGCUAUUUUAUUGGAUAGUUAAAUAACAAAAAUAUUUUCCUUCCUUAGAUGAAAGGCAAAAUAUUUUCUUUUUCUAUAGAUGUUUUUAAUUGAAGAUAGCUGGGGAACUAUUGGGGUGGGGUGGGGGGAGAAUAUACUCUGUAACCUUUCAUCACUUUCCAGGAAUUUGGAUUACUGUACAAUCUAUCAAUCAUAUCAGCAGGGCUGGUGAUAAAGGAAUGCAAAAAUAGUCAUUUUUUAAAAUUGAUUACUCUCAAAUCAUUAAAUAGUUCAGUACUUAACUGAAGGUAGAUAUCUUUUAUAUUGAAGAUUAGAAUAAAAAAGAAAUUUGUUCAGAUGGUACUUUGAAUUUCAGUGUAUGAGAAAACUGAAAGUUCUGUUCACAAGCUUGGAUAAUUUCCUCACAAAAUGUAAUUUUCUUUAGCAUCAAAAAGCUAACAGCUGUUACUAUUUGAUUUGAAUGAUGCUUGUAAGCAAAAUACAAAACACCCUCAAAAAAACAAAAAAACUGGACACAGAAAUAUGAGUAUAUUUAAUAAAGCAACCAAAACUAGUUUUGGUUUAGAAUUACUUCAUCAAAGAACAAAAGUCUUACUUUUGAAUAGUAUUCAUAACAAUAGUCUUGUGCUAUGAAGAAGU